rnacentral:rRNA from 1 species
UCAGGAUGAACGCUGGCGGCGUGCUUAACACAUGCAAGUCGAACGAUGACCUCCAGCUUGCUGGGGUGAUUAGUGGCGAACGGGUGAGUAACACGUGAGUAACCUGCCCUUAACUCUGGGAUAAGCCUGGGAAACUGGGUCUAAUACCGGAUAUGACUCCUCAUCGCAUGGUGGGGGGUGGAAAGCUUUUUGUGGUUUUGGAUGGACUCGCGGCCUAUCAGCUUGUUGGUGAGGUAAUGGCUCACCAAGGCGACGACGGGUAGCCGGCCUGAGAGGGUGACCGGCCACACUGGGANUGAGACACGGCCCAGACUCCUACGGGAGGCAGCAGUGGGGAAUAUUGCACAAUGGGCGAAAGCCUGAUGCAGCGACGCCGCGUGAGGGAUGACGGCCUUCGGGUUGUAAACCUCUUUCAGUAGGGAAGAAGCGAAA